CUUUACAUUUAUAGAAUACCCUAAAAGCAUGAAAUCCUAUGUGAUCUUGGAAACUAAACAGUGUCAGCUCUGGUUAGUACUUGGAUGGCGGAGCGCCAAUGAAUCCCAGGAGCUGUAGACA
rnacentral:rRNA from 11 species